AGAGUUUGAUCCUGGCUCAGAACGAACGCUGGCGGCAGGCUUAACACAUGCAAGUCGAGCGCCUCGCAAGAGGAGCGGCAGACGGGUGAGUAACGCGUGGGAAUCUACCCAUCCUUACGGAACAACUCCGGGAAACUGGAGCUAAUACCGUAUACGCCCUUCGGGGGAAAGAUUUAUCGAGGAUGGAUGAGCCCGCGUUGGAUUAGCUAGUUGGUGGGGUAAAGGCCUACCAAGGCGACGAUCCAUAGCUGGUCUGAGAGGAUGAUCAGCCACAUUGGGACUGAGACACGGCCCAAACUCCUACGGGAGGCAGCAGUGGGGAAUAUUGGACAAUGGGCGCAAGCCUGAUCCAGCCAUGCCGCGUGAGUGAUGAAGGCCCUAGGGUUGUAAA
rnacentral:rRNA from 1 species